rnacentral:rRNA from 1 species
GUGGGGAAUUUUGGACAAUGGGCGAAAGCCUGAUCCAGCCAUGCCGCGUGCAGGAUGAAGGCCUUCGGGUUGUAAACUGCUUUUGUACGGAACGAAAAGACUCCUUCUAAUAAAGGGGGUCCAUGACGGUACCGUAAGAAUAAGCACCGGCUAACUACGUGCCAGCAGCCGCGGUAAUACGUAGGGUGCAAGCGUUAAUCGGAAUUACUGGGCGUAAAGCGUGCGCAGGCGGUUAUAUAAGACAGAUGUGAAAUCCCCGGGCUCAACCUGGGAACUGCAUUUGUGACUGUAUAGCUAGAGUACGGUAGAGGGGGAUGGAAUUCCGCGUGUAGCAGUGAAAUGCGUAGAUAUGCGGAGGAACACCGAUGGCGAAGGCAAUCCCCUGGACCUGUACUGACGCUCAUGCACGAAAGCGUGGGGAGCAAACAGGAUUAGAAACCCCAGUAGCCC